AAACAACGUUGUUUGUAAUGGAAGAAAGUCUUUCAAUUGUCUCUGCCUGGUCGUUGCGGCUAUUGUGUCACAAUUCGAACCUUAACACGCCAUGAGGAGCAGCAGGGAGCAUCGGUCGACAUCCAUUUGCGAGAGUGAAAGAGAAGGUGUUAAUGAAGAAGGCAGAAGUGUAACAGUCUGUUCUGUAGGUAGUGUUGGCACGAGAAGGAAGAAGAUGUUUGUUGCUCCACAAUACCAUUGUGGAGCGUAUGCAAUUUUGCUCAUCUCCUCAACAGAGUUAAACUCUAAUAGACUAUUUUAUGAUUUUAUGGAUGUCCACACUUCAAGGUAAUAAGAAAUUUUGAUUAACUUUUUUUUUUCGAUUUUGACUCCCUGUGGUAAUAUGUUCUUAGCAUUUUGUAUGUUGUACAGAGUUCAUCACGUCAUUGCAAAUACUUUACAUGGUUGGAUGAUUAUGUUGCAUCAUUUGAUGAGGUAUACAAAAAAUUCUCAUUUUUUAGUGGGUUGGAAGGCAGAUUAAAAGCAGAUUCUUGAAUCGACUGUUGUGGAUGCUGAAAAACUCAGAGGACUAGAAGAUAGAGUAGCUGUGUUAGAAUCUGUAGCUAAGAAUUGUAAGGUCAAUAGUGGCAUUAGCUGCAUUUGUGUUAAGUAUCUGAUUGUUGCUUUUGUAUUUGGAAUUGCGAUCUCAAAUGUAUGUAAGGUAUUUGAUUAGCAUGAAACCUGAUGUGAGUCUGGGUAUAAAGAUUGUACAUUGAUAAAUUAUGACAUUGUUUUGAUACAAUGGAGAUGAUAUAUUAGUAUUUUGAUGUAUUUGAGUAUAUUUGCAGAAAGUUGUAAGUGGCC
rnacentral:lncRNA from 1 species